rnacentral:misc_RNA from 1 species
GAUGAAGAACGCAGCGAAAUGCGAUAAGUAAUGUGAAUUGCAGAAUUCAGUGAAUCAUCGAAACUUUGAACGCACAUUGCGCCCGCCAGUAUUCUGGCGGGCAUGCCUGUUCGAGCGUCAUUUCAACCAUCAAGCCCCAGGCUUGUGUUGGGGACCUGCGGCUGCCGCAGGCCCUGAAAACCAGUGGCGGGCUCGCUGUCACACCGGGCGUAGUAGAUUUUAUCUCGCUCAGGGCGUGCUGCGGGUUCCGGCCGUUAAAAAGCCUUUUUUACCCAAGGUUGACCUCGGAUCAGGUAGGAAGACCCGCUGAACUUAAGCAUAUCAAUAAGCGGAGGA